ACUCCAGCGUGUCGUCCAAACGUCCCAGUGGGUUUCUUGGAGUUGGAGGAAGUGUGGACUGGGAGCAGAUGGGUUGGUCAGCGUGUUCAACUUAGGUGAGCCGAGAUUCGCCUUGAGGUCACUAUCAAGCCAAACUGGCUGAAUCCUGGUGAAGGAGAUGACUGACACUCUGGGAGGAGACGCUGAUAAUGCCACAUCAGGCAGUGUCACAAGUGACUGAUGUUCAGGAUGCCAGCGAGGAAAGAAUCGAAGAGACGCUCAAAGGAACUCACAGCAACUCAGCAGAGUUGCAUCCAAGGCAUCCAAGGCAUGCAACGCUGAGACUGAUCCAGUUCAUCUAGGCUCCACAGAAUUUGGACAAGUGGACAAGACGUCAGUGGAGGCCACUCAGCUUGUACCACUGUCAGAGCCCAGUAACAGCCACUAGGUGUGACAAAAUAACAGUCAGGAAAUGAUGUAUUGAUGCUGCUUUCAGCAUAAUGCUGAGUCUUCCAGCUACCUGCCAGACUCACUUUGAAAUCCAGUCACACUACCCACUCUCAUCUUCCCGUGCCAAACUCCCCCAGCCAAUUCCAAUCCAGUAUGCCGUUGCCUAGCAACAAAGCUGCUCAACACGUGGGCUGCUGCUCCGGCAAACAGCAGCAAUGGAUAAGUGCUCCACCUUUUUUAUUUUUCCUUCGUAGUUAGACUUCAAAGACGGAGAGAAUGAAAAUCCCCUUCAGUCUGCACAACUGGGUGGCCUUAACGCUCGGGGCUUGGUGCGUAUGAGACGACACAUCAAAGCGGUCGAUAUAUUUUGUUCCUUUUUUCCAAAUGAGAAGCCACACCUGGUAUGAAGCUGACAGGAUUUUAGCUUUCUUUGAAAUGUAAAAUUGCCUGAAAUAAUGUAAUAAUAUGAAUCCUUUUAUCUGAAGAGCCCCAGUCUAAGCCUGAGCAGGCAGACCUGACGACAUGGCAGGAGCAGUCGAGAUGUGGUCUGUUAGCAUGCGAGCAUGGCACUUUUCUGCCUUCAGGAGAUGAUGAUGCGUCUGUGUUGGUUUAUGGCUGAGUGAAUGCUGAACUCAUUGAGUCAGAUUUAAGCCAGUAAUGCAUGAAAGACAAGAUGAGUUUGAAAGGAGGUAGUAAAACAGAAGAAAAGUGUAUCACAACAGGCUCUCUGUAUCUUUGCUCUUCCUCCUUACUGAUAUAACCCUCUGACCUGAAGUCUGAACAUAUCCAAACCACAUAGAGCACUAAAAACACAGUCCAGUCUACAGCUCCAGCGUGGACAUCAGUGUUUGUCCCUCCGGCAGAUUUCCAUUAGCAGCAGGAGCCAGGCAUCCGGUCUGUAGCGGUCAGUAGAUCCUUCAGAUGGAAAGUCACUUCUGCCUCUCAACAACAAAGGCUAAAUGGAUGAGGGUUUGCACAAGUGUGUAUGUUGUUGUGCUAUCAGAAGUGAUUAUCCUGGCAAGCAGCUGGGGUGAGGCAAAGCAAAGAAACCACACAGUGUUUCCUGUCCACUGCCUCUUUCUUUUUACACUCUCUCUGCUCUUCCUCGCUUUCUCUUUGUGAUGCUAACAGCUAACGGCUAGCAGGGGCGGCUCCAUUGCAGAGGUCUGGGGUGGUGGACAGAGGUAGCGUGUUGGAGAAAUACAUAGCCAGCACACACUGAAGAGGAGAAGGCGGAGGGAGAGGAGCAAGAGGUAGAAGGAGAGAAUGAAGAACUGAUGGAGAGAAGAAGCUCCAAGCAGGCAUCCAUGGGAGGGCUGACACAUAGAGACAAGCAACCAUUCACGCCUAUGGAAAAUUUUGACUCCCCAAUUAAUGUAUUAAGCUGCAUGUCUUUGGACUGUGCAAGGAAGCUGGAGCACUGGAGGGAACCCAUGCAGACAGGUGGAGAACAUGCAAACUCUGCACAGAAAGGUCCCAAUCGGCCAGCAGGUUCAAAUGUGAUGAGAGGCAAUAAUGCUCACCAGUGCACCACUGUACCGGAAAUAAAAAAAUAAAACAUGAUGCUAAA